CUUUCCCUUUCCUCUCUCUCUUCACCCACAGCUUCUCUCUCCUUCACUCUCUCUCUCUCAAUCGACGAUUUUGGUAAAAUCACAUAUCGUUUUCGCAAAAACCAGGCCAUGCAUGGCCAUUUGAGGAAGAGGAAUUAAUGGACGACCCUUUUCCUCAGAUUUUCAACGGUUGAAAGAUUUGGGUUUUGUUUUCUUUCACUGUCAUCUGCUCCCGAUCUGAAACAACUUUAAUGAUUUUCGUCCAUUUGUGAAAGGAAAAUCUCGCUUUUAUCAGCCUUUCCGAUUUCUCGAGUACAAGUUUUUCAAAGGGACUUUUGUCUCCAUCUUCUUGUUUUUUAUUAAGGUCAGAAUAAGCCCCCUAACGUUCUGAUUUUUUAAACAAAUUUGAUUUCAAAUCCCGACUAAAAUUCGAACCAUAGCAAAACCCUAGGGAUUCUACUAUAAAUAUUCAUUUCGGGUUAUUUUUUUGAGGGGGGACGGACAUUGGAAAAUUAUUUGAGAUAAAUAGAUUUUUUUUUCAAACAAAAGCAUAUUGUUUUUUGCUGAUAUCGAGAUUUCGAUUCGAAAGACUUUUUCGAGUUCGGGUUCGUCGGGUUCGAGCGUAAAUCCGAGACUCCCACACCAAUUCGCUGCACCAACAAAAGUGUUGCUAUCGCUGCUGUUUUCUCUGUGAUGAAUUGUCGCGUCUCUUAGGCAAACAUUUGACAUGAUUAAGGCCUAAGCCUACUGCUUGCCAUAAGCUGCUGUAGCGCCUUUUUUUCCCAUGUUCGAGUUGCACAGGAAACGUUGACACUAGUUGAAUGUUCCAUUAGCUUGUUCCAUUUUGUUGGUUUGUUUGCCUCUAUUUGCUUGUGUGAUAUUUAUUGAACAAGAAGACUAGCAAUUGGCUUUAUUUAGUCAUGCUAAA